rnacentral:misc_RNA from 1 species
CCAAAGGAAGUUAAUUCCGUGUAUUGUGAACGGUUUUGAGCGGCGUUCGGCCGGCUGUAGGGAGGCUGCCCUUGUGGCGACCUGCUUGCGGCGGCCGGCGCCACCACUUAAUGUCAUUAUGAAUCCCGCUCUGACGUCUUGUUAUUGCAACAACAACAA